UACGUAGGGUGCGAGCGUUAAUCGGAAUUACUGGGCGUAAAGCGUGCGCAGGCGGUCUGUUAAGACAGAUGUGAAAUCCCCGGGCUUAACCUGGGAACUGCAUUUGUGACUGCAUCGCUGGAGUGCGGCAGAGGGGGAUGGAAUUCCGCGUGUAGCAGUGAAAUGCGUAGAUAUGCGGAGGAACACCGAUGGCGAAGGCAAUCCCCUGGGCCUGCACUGACGCUCAUGCACGAAAGCGUGGGGAGCAAACAGG
rnacentral:rRNA from 1 species